GACACGACUCUCGGCAACGGAUAUCUCGGCUCUCGCAUCGAUGAAGAACGUAGCGAAAUGCGAUACUUGGUGUGAAUUGCAGAAUCCCGCGAACCAUCGAGUCUUUGAACGCAAGUUGCGCCCGAGGCCACCCGGUCGAGGGCACGCCUGCCUGGGCGUCACGC
rnacentral:rRNA from 1 species